UCCAUCCAUUUGAAUUUUUAUUUUAGGCCUCUGGUUUCAGAGGUUGUUUCCAAAAGUAUAUUGUGGUGGUUGUAGCACCCCCAUCAGGUCGCUUAAGGUAUCAGUUUUUGAAUAAGGCCAUACUUAACAUAUCCCCCAAGUAGACCACA